CCUAUGUGUUUAGAAAUGCGUCCAACAUUUUAUACAACAUCUCUGUAUACUUAGAGUAGUGUUCUGUUCACUGUGUGUGAAAGUAGCCAAUUCCAUUGAUUAUAGUGGAAGCUAAUUGUCGCAGCAUACGCUCUGUGAACAGUUUUAGUUUAGCCUGUAAGCGUUGUAAGAGUGGUAUCUACUGUACAUAGUUAUGCAUCACAUGCUCACAUGACUUUUUUCAGACAUUUUCUGCAAUCUCCACAGACGAGAAGUCAAACUCUUCUGUCAAGAUGAUGGAGAGUUGGUUUGUUAUGAGUGCAUAAACUCAGAAAUACAUAAGAAUCACAACUUCAGACCCAUCAGUACACAAGUGCUUGCCCUGAAGGUAAGUCUUGUGUGGCUGUACGUUGUUUCACAUCAAUAUCGUGCAGUGCACUCCAUACAUGUAUUGCCACUCCUGGUAAAGGGAAGAAGAGGCACCUUAAAGGAAAGCACAUUCAUUUAAAAAAAAUGGUGACAGUCUGUGUUUACUGUAAGGCUUGAUAGGAAGAGCUCAAGAUUAAAAUGGGGCCCUUAAGGAAGCAGGUGAAGCUAUGCGAAGAAGCUAAAGUCAUUUGUGAACUAACAGCAACAUAUAUUAAGGUACUAAUCAGCCUGUUAAACACAAUUUAAAUAUUAGUGUUUUGGGAUGUCAGCAGGAUGUCAUUAGUAACUAUUUUGUGCUGUAACAGAGUCAGUACAAAUACACAGAAAUGCUGUUGAAGGAGUUUGAGAACCCAAACCCACAGCAGCACUGACUCCUGAAUGUUAUUCCAGAGCCCAGUGCACACUGCAGUAUCCAAAGAGGGUUUCAGGAGCUCUGAUCAAUGUGGCAAAGCACCUGGGCAACCUGAAGUUCAGAGUCUGGGAGAAAAUGCAGGAUAUUGUUCACUACACUCCUGUGAUUCUGGAUCCCAACACUGCUCACCCAGGUCUCAUCCUGUCUGAGGAUCUGACCAGUGUGAGACGUGGUGAUGAGAGACAGCAGCUUCCUGAUAACCCAGAGAGGUUUGAU